rnacentral:rRNA from 1 species
UCCGGUCUGAACUCAGAUCACGUCUUGGUUGAAAAAACGAACAGUUUAUUCUUAUAAAUUUGCUGCAAUUUUAAGAUUCAAGAAUCCAACAUCGAGGUCACAAUUUUUUAAUUAAAUUUGUUCUUUCAUUAAAAAUUAGUUCUGUUAUCCCUAAAGUAACUUAUUUUUAAGUUUUUAAAUAAAUUUAAAUAAAGAAAUAUUUUAUUCAUUUUCCCCAAAAAAUUAUUUUUUAAUUAGUUUUUAGGGUCUUCUCGUCUAAUAGUAAGAGAAUUAUUUUUUAAUUUCUUUUAAUUUCAUUUUUAAAGGAAAGAAAGAAAAUUUAGGUUUAUUCUUUCAUACUGGCCUACAAUUAAUAGGCUUUUGAUUACGCUACCUUAGCGUAAAACGGCUUUUUAUAAAACAUUGAGCAGAAUUUACUUCCUGCAAAGGAAGAAAUGUUUUU